CAGAGAAUAGUUUAAUUUAUAAAAUUUUAGCUUUGGAAGUUAAUAAUAUCGUUUGGUUUCUCUGA
rnacentral:tRNA from 1 species